rnacentral:rRNA from 1 species
UACGGAGGGAGCUAGCGUUGUUCGGAAUUACUGGGCGUAAAGCGCGCGUAGGCGGCUUUGUAAGUUAGAGGUGAAAGCCCGGAGCUCAACUCCGGAACUGCCUUUAAAACUGCAUCGCUUGAAUCCAGGAGAGGUGAGUGGAAUUCCGAGUGUAGAGGUGAAAUUCGUAGAUAUUCGCAGGAACACCAGUGGCGAAGGCGACUUGCUGGAUCUUUGCUGACGCUGAGACGCGAAAGCGUGGGGAGCAAACAGG